GCUCCCCACCAUGAUGAUAAUGGACUGAACCUCUGAAACUAAUUCUGUCUCUGUACUCACCCAUAGGAGGCCUUUGCCGCCCACUCAGCGGGGAAAACAGUGAUUGACAAUGCCUUUUGGAGCACAGAUGCUGUUUGAUUUAUGAUGGAGCUACAUUCAGAUAAAUACAUCAUAGGCUGAGCAACUAGAGGUUACACUGAAUUCACUGAAUGAAUGCAGCCUACAGACACCGAGCUCAGCAGUAGAGCGCGCUGCACCAUGGGAGUUUCUUCUGGUGGUCUGUGGUCAAUGAUGGCAGCACUGACUGGAAACUGUGGCUUUGAAUUCUGUUCAGCAUCCUGAAAGAUGUUCCAUAUGAUGCGCAUGUGCCGUCUUUGGCAUUUGUGGCAGAUAUUGUCAUCUACAAAAUUCAUGCUCAAAAAUAGAACAGUGGGGUUUAAAUUUUUUUUAACUGAUAAUGUCUUAAGUGAUUUUAUACUUUCAUGUUGGGCCUCAUUCAGUGCCAUUCUAGAGAUCACGUGCCUGGCGGUUCUCUAUGAGAAACAUCAGUGCAGGAAAAAAGGAAAUUGGAAAUCUGAAGAAUAAGUCAUCUGAUUGUUUCCUACCAGCACCAGCUUUGAACAACAGUGAGCCAAACCAUUGUAAACUGGGUCGUCAUGGUGAGCCAAGGACAGCAUGUAUUAACGUCUGUACCACAGUAUAGUCUGCUUUCUGAAAUGUAAUACAAAUUUUCUUUAAUAUUGCAACCAUUAUUUACAAAUGCAUAGAAGAAAACUUUCU